UGAAAAGGUGUUCCUUCCUUUUAUAAUUUAUGAAGGGCACAUUAAUAAAUACAGAGAAAAACUAACUGCAGUAAGUGGUCAAAAGCUUUGAAAAUAUUAAUAUUUGAUAUCAUACGUAGUCAAUCAGACAACCAUUUUGGAACCUAAACCGAAGCACCGACUUCUUGUCAUGUGAAACAAUCAGGUCACCUCAGCAGUUACAUUUCGGUGGUUGACUGGUGUCAGCGAUGCCUAAAUCCAGAAAUUUUCAAACUAUCAAAUGUUUAUGGUGUAUGUGUGAAAUGAAAUGCUGUAGUGCAGUCAACAGCAACCUUUAGUGCCAAACAUCACCCAGCCAAGACUAAGGCUAAUAUUCCCCAUAGGCACCAAGAUACAAUAAAUGCAUAUAACCUGCACUACUAGAACUCAUAAGCUAAUCUGAGCAUUAUAUAUUGAAAGCUCUGAUUUAGGAUACAGGACGCGAUUUUUAUUUAAAUUCAUUUUGCCACCUUAUGAAAAUUAAGACUACUGACAGCUUAAAGGUACGACCUAUCGCCUUUUGCCAUUAGCAACUGGAUUUACCGAGCUAAAACCCACGGGGCAAAACCAAACAAAACCUCGCGCGAAACAUUUCCACCGUGAACGUGUCGCUCCGCUGCAGCUGAAGCGAUGAGAAGUUGGACGGGGCCGGGGUGCCCCCUCCGCGGGCAAGGGCUGCUCCCUCGGCGGGGACGGGAGGAAGGGACAACCUUUUGUCCGCCCGCUUUAACUUUCGUUUUUACGCGGCGCCGGUCUGUAACCUCCCGGGGAAGGAGCUCUUUCUUAUUUAAAUCGCAAAGAAGCCGCCCCCGACGAGGCAGGGCCGGAGGUUUCGCGCCGGCCGCCGCCGGGGCCGAGCAGCCGCCGCCGGGGCGGGGAUCGGGGCGGGGGCCGGGGCCAGCACCGCCACGGGCCCUUCCCCCGCCCCGGGCGGUCCCCGGGAACCCCCCCCCCCCCCCCCCCCCCCGCCGCCGGAGUUGGACCCAACUUCGCCGCUUUUCCUUCCGCCACGCAGCCGUGUCCCGCUCCGGUCAACGCCGCGCCCGUGUCUGAGGACAGGGCAUCGCCCCCGGCCCCGAGGGGCGGGCGGGGGGGUUGGGGGGGGGGGGGGGGAAUCGUCCCGGGCCCCAUCCGCGGGGCCAGUUGGGGGGGGGGGGCUGUUGUGCCGGGCCGGCGAGGUGCCUCCCCCUUCCCGGCCGCCGGGGCCCGCGGCGGUGCCGCCGAACCGGCUGCGGCCCGCGGAAAGCGGGGGGGGGGGGGGGGGGGGGGGGCGGAAAGAGGGCCAGCCCCCGCCGCCGCGGCAGGUCCCCCCGCACCCGCCGGUAAGAGAGGCGGGGAGGCGCCCGCCUGUCCCCUCGGACGCUGACGAGAACCCCUGGUGCUCUUGAAGCGAAGCUCAGUAAAUGCUGCAAAGCAGAAGAGUUUGCCACUCCAACUUAUUUGCAAAUAAAGGUCCUGAUUACUAACACUUAAAGUACCGAAGGCGAAAUUUGCUAAUUACACAUCACACACACGAAACCCCAAACUGUCAGAUUAGUAGCAUGCCAGCGUGUUUGCAGUUGCUAGCAUCCCUCCCGUGUGCACAUUUACUAAACGCAGCUUGCUAGCAGAGCUCUCUAUACGAUAAAUCGUCCAGGUUUGAAAUUAAUAGAUACUUAUAGUGCGUCUCAAAAAGCAGCUGAACAUCCACGCUUCAGAACAUAUUGGAGCGCUAUACGGAAUAUAAAAACGAAGCUUAAAAUUGGCAGAUGAGAUUUACCGCUCAUAUCUGCUACUUGGUUUCUGGAGGGAAUGUGAAAAAGACCUGACAGAUACAUUUAGCGAUUGAUUCUCCCUUCAUAAGGUACAAACACAAAAAGCAAGGCAGAGACAAUGCCGAAAUGCAUUAAACCUCAAAAUCGAUUAGAGCCCGUCAAAAGAUCUUUUAAAACAAUACAAAUCGUGGACUUGUGCGUAAUACUUUAUUCCAAAGGACACUAAAUUUGCCGUGAAUCUGCUGCCUUGUUCACUGGCCGGUUCACGAGAGAAAAUAAAUAAAAAAUUAAAAAAAAAAAAAUAAAAAAGCAACACAACAACUUCUCGCUUGCAGUUACAGACAACUAGCAGGAGGAAAGGACAGCGUGAUGUGACGCCAAGUGUGAGUUAAUGAAUUUACGCCUCUGCUCCUGCGGGAGCGAGCCGGGUCUGGAGCUCCCUAGCUGCUGGAUGCCCAUUAAUACACCUGCAUUCCCGCCUCGGCCGUGGGGAGGCACGCAGGGAGCCAGUGCGGAGCGGCACAGUUUUGCCAAGUCCUUUCGAAACGUCAAUACCCUUCAAGUUACACCCAAAGGAGAGGGAUUUCUCUUGAUUUCCGAGCGUACAGAUGACCGGGGCGGGUUUUCUGCCAGUAACCUUCUACCUUUUCUAUACGUGCCUGCGUGUGUGCGUGUGUGUCUGUGUAUACAUAUCUAUCUCCUAGAGAGGGAUUAAUUAGCCGGGUUUGAGCUGAAAGAGGCUGCAGUGACGAGCCCAGUGGCGAUUGGCCGCCCGCCUGCCUGGCCCUGCCUUUAUAAUUUCCACACGAGUGCAUCUGGGCUCUUAUACAAACCAACAGCCAGCUUCUUCUGACAUAUACACACACACACACACACGGCACUUUUUUCCACCCUCUGAUUAACCACCCUGCACACACAGAGUGAUUACUACGGGAAAACGUAAAUAAAUACGAAGAGGUUUUAUUAUUUUGACUACUGGAAGCCUC